rnacentral:rRNA from 1 species
GAUAAACGCUGGCGGCGUGCCUAAUACAUGCAAGUCGAACGGGGAAAGCCUUCGGGUGAGUACUAGUGGCGCACGGGUGAGGAACGCGUGGAUAAUCUGCCUUAGAGUGGGGGAUAACUAGUCGAAAGAUUAGCUAAUACCGCAUAAGACCACAGGAGCUGCGGCUCAAGGGGUCAAAGGUUUUUCGCUCUAAGAUGAGUCCGCGUAAGAUUAGCUAGUUGGUGAGGUAACGGCUCACCAAGGCGACGAUCUUUAACUGGUCUGAGAGGAUGAUCAGUCACACUGGAACUGAGACACGGUCCAGACUCCUACGGGAGGCAGCAGUAGGGAAUAUUGCACAAUGGAGGAAACUCUGAUGCAGCGACGCCGCGUGAGUGAUGAAGGCCUUCGGGUCGUAAAGCUCUGUCGCAGGGGAAUAACACAAUGAAUGUACCCUGUAAGAAAGGAUCGGCUAACUUCGUGCCAGCCGCCGCCGUAAUAC